GAUACCUGGUGCUUCGUCCACGUCCUGGAUGUGCGCAGUACCUGGUGCUUCCUAGUCCACGUCCUGGAUGUGCGCAGUACCCGGUGCUUCCUAGUCCACGUCCUGGAUGAAGGAUAAACAGUUGCUUUGAUCUCCAACUAUAAUUCGAGAUAGGUGAAAGGGAAUUGCUAUGAAUCGACGAAGCUUUCCGAUGCAUCUAGUGUUGGAUUCGUCGUCAGAUGAUGACAGUGAUGAUUUCUUAAUCUCUAUUACUCAUGUGGCCGUGAAUGCGAAUGAGUCCGAUGAUGAAACAAAACAUCGUGGUUCUAUCAUAGGUCAUCAAGUACUUCAGCGAGAUAGACAGACGGGGCAUCAGAGGUUGUAUCAAGAUUAUUUUUCAGAUGAUCCUACGUACGGACAUAGUUAUUUCAGACGACGGUUUCGAAUGAGGCGUACACUGUUUGUACGCAUAUGGAAUGCCGUAGAGCAACAUGAUGAAUAUUUCGUUCAGAAAAGAAACGCUGCCGGUGUGCUUGGCCUUUCUAGUCUGCAAAAGAUUACCGCAGCAUUUCGGAUGUUAACUUAUGGAGUAGCAGCUGAUGCUACAGAUGAUUAUAUCCGUAUUGGUGAGAGUACUGCUAUUGAGAGUCUGAGAAGGUUUGUCAGUGCUGUUGUUGAGAUUUUUGGAGAUGAGUACUUGAGAUCACCUAAUGAAGAUGAUACUGCUAGAUUACUUGCCAUUGGAGAGAGUAGAGGUUUUCCUGGUAUGCUUGGGUCGAUUGAUUGUAUGCAUUGGAGGUGGAAAAAUUGUCCUUCGGCAUGGCAAGGUAUGUAUACCGGGCAUGUGCAUGAGCCUACAAUUAUACUUGAAGCUGUUGCAGAUAAAGAUCUUUGGAUUUGGCAUGCUU